ACACCGGCAGCUCUAGUGGUAACAAUUUUUAUUGGGCCUAAAGCGUCCGUAGCCGGUUUAAUAAGUCUCUGGUGAAAUCCUGUAGCUUAACUGUGGGAAUUGCUGGAGAUACUAUUAGACUUGAGACCGGGAGAGGUUAGAGGUACUCCCAGGGUAGAGGUGAAAUUCUGUAAUCCUGGGAGGACCGCCUGUUGCGAAGGCGUCUAACUGGAACGGUUCUGACGGUGAGGGACGAAAGUUAGGGGCGCGAACCGGAUUAGAUACCCGGGUAGUCCUAACUGUAAACGAUGCGGACUUGGUGUUGGGGUGGCUUUGAGCUGCUCCAGUGCCGAAGGGAAGCUGUUAAGUACGCCGCCUGGGAAGUACGGUCGCAAGACUGAAACUCAAAUGAAUUGACGGGG
rnacentral:rRNA from 1 species